rnacentral:rRNA from 1 species
AUUGAACGCUGGCGGCAGGCCUAACACAUGCAAGUCGAGCGGAUGAAGGGAGCUUGCUCCUGGAUUCAGCGGCGGACGGGUGAGUAAUGCCUAGGAAUCUGCCUGGUAGUGGGGGAUAACGUCCGGAAACGGGCGCUAAUACCGCAUACGUCCUGAGGGAGAAAGUGGGGGAUCUUCGGACCUCACGCUAUCAGAUGAGCCUAGGUCGGAUUAGCUAGUUGGUGGGGUAAAGGCCUACCAAGGCGACGAUCCGUAACUGGUCUGAGAGGAUGAUCAGGCACAGUGGAACUGAGACACGGUCCAGACUCCUACGGGAGGCAGCAGUGGGGAAUAUUGGACAACGGGCGAAAGCCUGAUCCAGCCAUGCCGCGUGUGUGAAGAAGGUCUUCGGAUUGUAAAGCACUUUAAGUUGGGAGGAAGGGCAGUAAGUUAAUACCUUGCUGUUUUGACGUUACCAACAGAAUAAGCACCGGCUAACUUCGUG